GACAGAGGGUGCAAACGUUGUUCGGAAUUACUGGGCGUAAAGCGCGUGUAGGCUGCUUGGAAAGUCGGGUGUGAAAGCCCUGAGCUCAACUCAGGAAGUGCACUCGAAACUUCCGAGCUCGAGUCCUGGAGAGAGUGGCGGAAUUCUCGGUGUAGAGGUGAAAUUCGUAGAUAUCGAGAGGAACACCGGUGGCGAAGGCGGCUACCUGGACAGUGACUGACGCUGAGACGCGAAAGCGUGGGGAGCAAACAGG
rnacentral:rRNA from 1 species